UGGGGAAUAUUGGACAAUGGGCGCAAGCCUGAACCAGCCAUGCCGCGUGAGUGAUGAAGGCCCUAGGGUUGUAAAGCUCUUUCACCGGUGAAGAUAAUGACGGUAACCGGAGAAGAAGCCCCGGCUAACUUCGUGCCAGCAGCCGCGGUAAUACGAAGGGGGCUAGCGUUGUUCGGAUUUACUGGGCGUAAAGCGCACGUAGGCGGACUUUUAAAUCAGGGGUGAAAUCCCGGGGCUCAACCCCGGAACUGCCUUUGAUACUGGAAGUCUUGAGUAUGGUAGAGGUGAGUGGAAUUCCGAGUGUAGAGGUGAAAUUCGUAGAUAUUCGGAGGAACACCAGUGGCGAAGGCGGCUCACUGGACCAUUACUGACGCUGAGGUGCGAAAGCGUGGGGAGCAAACAGG
rnacentral:rRNA from 1 species